CCAAGGAGUCUAACAUGUGCGCGAGUCAUGGGGUCUUACGAAACCCAAAAGGCACAAUGAAAGUGAAGGCAGCCUCGGGUUUGCCUAGGUGGGAUCCCCGUCACUCUGGCGGGGCGCACCACCGGCCCGUCUCGACCGCAUCGUCGGUGAGGCGGAGCAAGAGCGUACACGUUGGGACCCGAAAGAUGGUGAACUAUUCCUGAGUAGGACGAAGCCAGAGGAAACUCUGGUGGAGGUCCGUAGCGAUUCUGACGUGCAAAUCGAUCGUCAAACUUGGGUAUAGGGGCGAAAGACUAAUCNAACCAUCUA
rnacentral:rRNA from 1 species